ACAAAACAAGGAAGUGCUUUGUUUUUGUCCUCCCUGUACUGUCAGCUGUAAGUGAAGAAAUCUGCAUUUCUGUGUCGGGUUAACAAAACAUCCAGACGGCUACGUAAUCAUUUGACGUGGACACUGAGGACAGCUUCUACAUCUUUUACAUCCUGGUCCUCAUCAUGGUGGAGCCCACAGCAUCAGGCGUGUUCUGUAACAGGAUGCUGAGCAUGGUCAACUCUGAAGAUGUAAACGCCAUCAUACAGGCUCAGAGACACAUGCUCGACCGCUUUGAGAAAACCAAC